GCAUGAAGCCGGAAUGGCUAGUAACCGCCGGUCAGCCAUACGGCGGUGAAUCCGUUCCCGGGCCUUGUACACCCCGCCCGUCACACUAUGGGAGCUGGCCAUGCCCGAAGUCGUUACCUUAACCGCAAGGAGGGGGGUGCCGAAGGCAGGGCUAGUGACUGGAGUGAAGUCGUAACAAGGUAGCCGUACUGGAAGGUGCGGCUGGAUCACCUCCUUU
rnacentral:rRNA from 1 species